GGCAGGGCUCUCCUAAGAAGAUGAUGCAGAGCAGCCCUUGAACGGCUGGCAAUGCUUCUCUUUCCUUUGGGCUGGAGCGUUGAAUAUAGCAAGGGAUAUGGCAUAGCAGGAGAAGGGGCUUCCGCCCAGAGCCAAGGCCAAGCAGAUGUCUCCAGGAAGCCCACCAGCGACAGCCCACUCCUGUGGCCUGUCCUCCCGCAGGUGCCUUCCAUGCUAGACUCUAGCUGGAAGCUCUAGACAGCUAGGUCUGAUUAUAACCAGAGAUACUCUCCUCCUCCUCCUCCUGUGAAGAGACGUGACCCCUGUUCCAAACUGGCAAGCCUGUUGUCCUUGCUGCAUCUUGUGGCUUCCAAUUUCACCAACCAAUUAAACAUUAUGAGAAUAAGUUCCCAUCCAUGUUAAUAAUGACCCACAGCUCUCCCCUCUCCCUGUUUAUUUCAUUUGUUUCAUGAAAUUUAUAUACUGCUUGACUGCAUGAAUGAGGGAGCCAGGCUCUCUGGGUCCUGGCAUGGCCGUAGCUCUUGAACCCAGAGCACUUGGGGCCUCCUUUCUCUGUCUGCCAGCCCUUCGUGCUCUGGGCUGCCUCUUUCAGGCUCUGAUGAUGCCCUUUCAGGUCACUGAACUGCAGAGAGACAGAAGGAAUUGGUCAUGAUGGGCCAGCAAGGAUCAAUUAGGUUCCACAUACGUAUUUCUGUUCUGCCAAUUCAGCGGUGGUUCCUUGUCUUCUCCAGACGCCCCUCCUCACAAACAAACACCCCCCAAGAAUUGGGGCUCCUGGCUUCUGAGUCGAUCUCUCUGCUCGUCUCUUCUAGGAUCAGGUGCUUAAGGCGCCUGUUCAGACGCUGCAACAGGGUGGCCCCCCAGCAAGGCCCGGAGCAGCCCGUGGCGCCAGGUGAGCAAGUGGCCCUCCUUUUUGGGACAGAGGAGGGCAGGAAUGGGCAUGGGGGGCAGCUAGUCAAAAGAUAAAGGUAAAGGUAAAGGUACCCCUACCCGUACGGGUCAGUCGUGUCCGACUCUAGGGUUGCGUGCUCAUCUUGCUCUAGAGGCCGUGAGCCAGCGCCGUCCGAAGACACUUCCGGGUCACGUGGCCAGCGUGACGAAGCCGCACCUGGCGAGCCAGACCAGCGCAGCACACGGAAACGCCGUUUACCUUCCCGCUAUAAAGCGGUCCCUAUUUAUCUACUUGCACUUAAGAGUGCUUUCGAACUGCUAGGUGGGCAGGAGCUGGGACCGAACGACGGGAGCUCACCCCGCCACGGGGAUUCGAACCGCCGACCAUACGAUCGGCAAGUCCUAGGCACUGAGGUUUUACCCACAGCGCCACCCGCGUCCCUAGUCAAAAGAUGCAAAGAACCAGAUGGCUGGAUCCGAACCAAAGGUCCAUCUGGGCCAGUGACUGGAAAGCCAACCCCCCAGUGGCCACCCCAUUUGUGGGGUCUGAUAAGGAAGCAGGGGGCUGGGCUGUGGGGCAGUUGUCAGCUGGACGGGCACCUUCCCUGGGGAACCACGUUCUGGGGGAAGGAGGCCAGGAUUGACCCCCAAGGCCUGGGGUGUCCCUCCCCUGUAGUAGGACUUGGAAUGUGGGGGGAAAGUCUUGGAAUAGCCUUGCCAGGUGCUCAGGGAGGGACUCACCUGUCCCCAUGUCCUUCUCUUUGCAGUUCUGCUGUGGUUCCACAUCCCUACCAGAGGGGUGAGUAUUGAGAGAACCAGAGCAGGGACUGGACCCCUCAGACCUGCCCCCCGCUACCCGGCCUCUUUGCCCCCCACCCUGCCCUCUCAGAUGUGGAGGAGCCCUCUGCUUGUGAGGAACAUAUGCCUGAAGAGUCUGUCUUUGCCUUCCAAGGAAUAAUACAGGAAACAAAAACAGAGCACCAAUUCCCUGACCUUCCCUCAGAGUUAGAAGAGGAGGUGCCUCCCUGGCUAUGGGGAACAGAAUCCACCUCAUUAGGACUUUGAAAAUCAGCCACGCCAGUUGGACAGAUCUACCAUACCCAUGUAGUCAACAAUCCCCCGUACCUAAAGAGGCUAUUAAAGGCUUGAGAUCCCAUGAUAAAUGAUUUCCCAGAGAAGGGAAUUCUAGUUCAUUGCGCCUUUCCUUGUAAUACCUCCUUACUUCCGAUUAAAAAACCGGUGGGGGGACGGGACCCCAGUGUGCUACUGCUUAGUCCAAGAUUUGAGACUCGUUAACCAAUUUGUGAUACAGUGCCUCCCAGUGGCAGGCAACCCAAAUUCCCUUUUAAAUGCCAUCCUGGCAGAAACUACCUGGUAGUUCCUUUUGCUUUUACCUGGAAAGCAGGCCAACUAAUCUGGACAAGGCUGCCCCAGGGAUAUGCGGAGUCACCCGCCAUAUUUUCCUCAAUCUUGCAUCAAGAGCUACAGGACGUACUUCUGCCUGCAGGGUCUGUGCUUCUGCAAUACAUUUAUGACCUUUUAAUAUGCUCAACUCUUGG
rnacentral:lncRNA from 1 species